GUUGUUUUGUCCCUUUUUAUUAAAAAGGUUCUUUUUCUUUUACCCCAAAACACUGUUGGUUGGUUUGUUUGCUUUAUAAAGAGAUCAUGCAUAGAAAUACAGCUGGUCUUUGUCCGACAGCAUCAAAAAAACUUGCAUCGAUGUACACACUCCUCUCGUUAAUAUGUACAUACAUGAGCUGUGGUUCAUCGAAACCACACAGACACUGAGAAAGACACUGAGUUUGACCUUUGACCUGCAGGAGAUUACACAACAAAACACUCAAACGUCCUCUGAUUCCUCACGCUUUGGUUGAUCUUAUUGCUUCAUUACUGUGUAACCCUGUGCUCUUUUACGAUGUUUUAUUUUACAUUUUUGGUAUAAUUUCUAAAUGAUUUUAUAGCCAAAAUGAGCCGGGCCGAUAGAUAAAUAAAUAAACUCAGAUUGAUUGUCUUUAAAUGGAGAUAUUCCUCCUAAAAUAACCUCAAACAGAUAACAUGGCACUUUAACAACCCAAACAUCCACACAAAGCAAAACCAUCAAGGCUAGUAUUGCACAGUAACCCAAAAAAUUGCAUAUUUUUGUAGAAGUAAAAGAUGGCAGUGAUGCCACAGUUCAUGCACAAAAAAACAAAAACAGCUAACCUACUAUACAGAGAAAUCAAGACAACUUAAAUAACAACACCAGUGUAAAAUACCAGAUUUGAGGAUUUGCACAGUGAGACUCAGAAAUCCUGCAGAAGUUUAGAAGAAAGACUUUUUUCUUAAAAGUGAUUGUCAUCUUGAGGGAAGCCCAAACUUUCAAAUAUUCACAAAUUUAGCUUAAAAAAUAACAAAAACAUCUAAAAUAUAUUCAAAAAAAUAAACUCGUGGUCCAUUAUCUGGUUAUAAAACUGAAAUGUCGUCUUUUUGGACCGUUCACGCUCAAAUAAACAGCUUUUCAUCGUAAAAUCAUCUCUUUUGAGUCUGUAACUCAUGCUUGCUUUUAGUAGUACUGGUUCAUUUCGCAGCUGCUCACCACAGCGCCUCCACCAGGCGGGUUUCCACACUGCAGGUUUGAGUUUCAGCAGGACAAACUGGGUUGGACCCACGUGACUCCACGUUUGACAGAAACACGCUGGAGUUUCAGCAAAAGUUCAUAAAUUUGUGUUUAAACUCCGAGUAAAUGUGAGAAAAAUUCAUCUACCUGCUAUUCGACUAAACCGCAUAUUGGUAGUUCUAGUAUUUUCUUAGUAGUCGGCCAUUUUAAUGACGCUUUGAGUACGAUCAGGACAAAACAGAACAAAAGCUACUGGACUGUCAGAGAGUAUGGCUUUGUUUCCACAAGCUGCUGAAACCACAUGCAACUACUCUACACGCUAACUACGAACAGGAGCCUCCGCAGAGAGAGGCCGACAGGAAGCACUUUCAGUUUGGUUUUGGCUCUUUAAAGCCCCUCUCCCGCUGGGGUCAGGUGGUCACUGAAGGACAAGGCCGAGGUCGGCGUCUGACCGAGAACUGGAGAUCGAAGAGUGGACGAGAGUGGACAUGUUUCAAAACAGGAGUUUGACUUUUUCUGUUUUUAUCCUCCUGAAACCACCAAGACGAGUUCAACAAGACAUACGCUGCAGUUCCUUUAGUGUCCACUUGGGGCAGCAGAGGAGUCCCCAUGAUCACCCAUUUUAAGACGCCCGUUGAAAUAUUUAUGAUUACCGCCUGGAGCAGCAGGGUUCUGUUGGAAUUAUUCAGAUCUGUAAACAUGUUCAUUUCUGCUGCAAAGUUGAACAUUCUUACAUGGAGCUCUAUGAGGAUUGAAUCAGGUAAGGAGGCAGCCUCUAGUGGCCACUUCAGGUACUGCAACUUUUGGAAGAACUGGGUAAAACCGACACGCUUACCCCCAAUUUCCACCGCAUCCGGAACGGCUACGAAAAGGUCGUAUCCUCCGAUCAUAGAUGAUCGUAACCAUUCAAGUCGGACUCCUCAGCUGAUCACAAGAGUUCUGUUUUUCCCCAACGCCAGAUGAGGGGAGACGAACAAGUGAAAGGUUUUCAGACGUCAUUUCACCCCGAUGACACCAUGGAUGAGGAGAUGCUGAUUCUAGAAGUCUAGAAGUAGAUUUCCUCCUCUGGAAGGACACAAUCUACUGCUUAUAUGUCUAUGUGUCUGUCUUUAUAGGGACAACGAUUGCAUGUGUAUCCGAUGCUUUUUGAGAGUUCUCGCGAUUCCUGCUGUCGGUAAUCCGCCACGAAAUUCGCCUCACAAACCGAUCUGGUAGGAAUUGGCAGAAAAAUCGCAGCCAUUCCGGAUGCGGUGGAAAUCUCAGGUUACAUGAAGCUCUAUAAGGAUUGACUCAGAUAAGGAGGCAGCCUCUAGUGGCCACUUAAGGUACAGCAACUUUUGGAAGAACUGGGUAAAACUGACACUCUUAAUCCGAAGUUCUGGGUCAUCAGGCGAGCUCAGACCGGUCUCAUAUCGAACAGAGAAAACAUUUCAGCUGACGCCUCGACUCGAACCCUCAUCGCACCCGCGCUCACGACAAAGCCACCACAGUCACGAACACUCGUUAAC